GCUCCAUGCAUUUAAAAUAAUGAUUCAAGCAAUUAUAAAGUUUAUAUUACAGUACAUGCUCAUAGGAGAAAAAUUUUAAAUCUAAGAAGAAGUAUAAUGAAUAGAUAUUUUAUAUGUUCAGGUCAUCUGACAGAUCUGAGUACUUUGAUCAGGUAAAUAUAUCAUACUAUUUUUUUAAUACAGCAAGAUGUUUGUAUUCAUAUUAAAUGUUGUUGUAUACUUUAAGUAAUUAACUUUUAUUUGUAUAAAACUGGAAGUUGACACUAUGAUAUUUAAUAAUUAGAGAUACCUCUUAUCUGCAAAUAAUGUAUAACAAUUGUUUUUGCCUAAUUAUGCACAUCUUAAUAAUAUAUUUACAAAUGAUAAAAUUUUCCAGCAGCUUUUAAAACAUUUUAAAACCCUUAUUAUCCAUUUUUAGCAUUUGUAAGUACACUUAAAAUAGCUGACAUACUAUUUUAAAUUUGGAAUGUAUUUUAUCUGUAGCUAGAUGAAGUAUGGGUCAAAAUAAGUAAAAUGGAUCACAUGAGAACAAACACUUUUUAAAUUUGGAGACCCACCUUAAAUGAUUAAGACUGAUCGAUCUUAUCAGAUUGAUCAGUCUUAGAAAUAAUUUUUUUUUUAUAUUUUGGCUGUUUCUUCACACUUUUGCAGUAAGUGCAGAUAAUAUCUCUUCUAUAACAAUUUCAGCAUCACAUCUUUCUACAAAGCAUGACAACAAUAGAUAACAUUUUCAUUUGUCUUUUGGAAAAAGCAAAUAUAGAGCAAUUUUUUCUCUUUUAAAUCUAUUAUUUCAUCUGCAAUCAAGCACAUUAUUAUGUCUUUAGUCCAGCGGUUCCGAAAGUGUGUGCCGUGGUUUCCUCACAGGUUUCCUCACAAAAUGUUAUAAGAUUUUUAUAAUGUUAGAAUUUGUAUAAUGUACUUGUUAGAAUUUGACAUAGGGUGCCUUGGGAAAAUCUGCACUUAGCAAGGGCACCUAGAAUCAAAAAAGUUUGGGAACCACUGCUUUAGUCCUUGAAAAUACAAAGAAAAUAUUAGUUUUUUAAUGAUAUAACAUCUACUGCACAUCAGAUUGUAUAAAAUAAAUAUGACGUAUUUGUAAUUGUAUAAAUUUGACGUUGGAGGGCCAUAAACAACUACAGGCUUCUUCCAACACUGCAGUGAUCAUGCAAAACACUAGCAACACUACGGAAAAUAUGAGGAUACCUAUCAUGUUCAACCCACUAUUGAGGUCUCUAUACAGCACCACUCUAUACAACGAAAAAUUACCAUAGCAUACAGAAGGUGCAGCACUUUGUUCGAUAUCCUACGCAACGAAAAGGACCAAUCCAGGGUGGAGAAGUUAUCAGGCGUCUAUACAAUCCCUCUAAGAGAUAACCAGUUUAACAGGAAUUUGGUAUACGUAGGAUCGACUAAACGUUCAUUAGGGGUUAGGAUAAAAGAGCACAUCUCAGAUGUACAAUGCAACAGACAUACAACAUCACUCUCCACCUACGCCACUGAUCCUGAAAUAGUGGUGGACUUCAAUAGAGCGCAGAUAAUCGUCACCACACCGCACAUUCACCAUCUAAAAUGGUUGGCGGAGAUGGAAAUUUUUAGAGCAUACGACACAUCCACUUGUAUUAAUUCAAGAGACGAAAUCGGCCUUUCCAUGGCAUGGCAAAACCUACUACAUACAGAGUAACAGCAAAAUACUAUUUAUUAAAUAUUAAAAUAAAAAAUAAAAAUAGAAGGUACUGGGGAACAUGUGAGAACAGUAUUGAAUAAUUAUGUAUCUCAAUCGCACGUUUUUAAGUAUCAUAAUAAUAUCUUUCUCUUGAAUUUAGACAUUGAUCGUUAACUUCGAUCACGUUCAAACAUAUCACGUGACGAAAUAAGCGAACGAUCCGAACGAUUCAAACUCAACAGAGUUCGUAUUUAUUCAAAUUUCGUUUUUGGUGUUCGAUCCAGCUGUUUCACGUGAAGAAGAGCCCAGAAGGGGUUAUGAAAACGUUCGUUGUUGAAAGAUUAUUCGAUACACAUCGGUUAUAGGUUCAAGUACGUCAUAUUUAGUUUUUAAUGUAUAAUUCCCUUAUUUGCAUGUCUUCACAGGACAAGAAUUAAUCCCUUUACUGCUUUCUAAAAUAGUAUAUGUUAUAAAUUAGAGUAAAAUAUUCAGCUGGAAUAAAUUUCUUAAGUUUUAAAAUUCUUACCAGUUCUUUUUGGUUUUUACACAAUUGUCAAUUACUGAUUUUCUUAUAAAUUUCACUUUACAACAUAAAUUGUAAAACAACCUGCAUUUUUGUGACAAUUUUUCUUGUGGAUAUUGUAUCUUUAGUUCUAUGGCUGAAAUUUCAUUUUCCCCAUUUUUCUUUCUUUCUUUUGUUUUAUUAUUCAAUUUUAAAGCUACUUUAUUGUAAAAUAACAAAAAUUGCACCUGAGUUAGAGAUUGACAAAGCUUACCAUAUUGUGGCAGGGCAGUAUGCAGACAAGAGUUGUGCAAGAAAACCAACUCAGAGCUCAACAUGCCACAAUUUUUGUUCUGAAUGGCCUUCCUUAACUUCUUUGACGUGUCACAGCAAACAUGAAUUGAUUUUGUUGUCUUGUUUAAUGUACUAACAGAAAAACCACUAAACUCACUUCCUCCUCUUCUCUUCCGAAAGACAGUUGUCAUGAUUUUCCAGGCAGACAAAGUUAAAGUUUCUGACACUUCUUUAGUUUUUUGGUGAGUAUAACUCCAAGCCAUUGAUUGAUUUUUUUUGUCUCUGCAUUUGCAUAUUGUAUAUAUCAUAUUGCAAUCAAGCCUCAUCACCAUAAUGUACCACUCUAGAAAAAUAUCACCUUCUCUUCAACUAUUCCCAUCUAUUGUUUCUUAUGCUCCUCUGAAAGCAGUUUAGGUACUCACCUGAUACAAAACUUCUGAUAACUUAAUGUUUCAGGGAUCACUUCAUGAAGGACUGUGCAAGAUUUGUGGAAACACCAGAAAUCUCUGAAAUGGUGAAUUUGUUGAUUCUCUCCAACCUCUCAUCAAUGUUCUCAACUCUACUACUCUUUUCAUCAUGGACAUUGGUGUGGCCAUUUUUGAACAUACUGACUGCAUCAUUGUCUCACACUGCCCUCACUCAUUACAAACUUUUUUAAGAAUAUAAAGUUAAUGAUGAAUUUCAACCACUGUACAGUUUUUGUCUAAUAGAAAUCUUAUAACUGAAUAUAUUUUACAGAUUUUUCAACUGCAGCACAUAUUUUGAAAAAUCGUUGUUGAGCAAGUAACAGUGACACAAAUUUCACUAUCAAUGCUAGAUGCCUGCAGUACAUUUUAUCAUUAUUUGAAAGAAUUUUUAUAAUUGUAAACAUUUUGAUGAUAUAUUUAUAUUUACUCAACAUAAUAAUAUGAAAAUUAAACAAACUUUAAUUAACAAGCAUAAAUAUAUAUU